CGUUCCCUCUGGCGGUAGGCCUAACACAUGCAAGUCGAACGGCAGCACAGUAAGAGCUUGCUCUUACGGGUGGCGAGUGGCGGACGGGUGAGGAAUACAUCGGAAUCUACUUUUUCGUGGGGGAUAACGUAGGGAAACUUACGCUAAUACCGCAUACGACCUUCGGGUGAAAGCAGGGGAUCUUCGGACCUUGCGCGAUUGAAUGAGCCGAUGUCGGAUUAGCUAGUUGGCGGGGUAAAGGCCCACCAAGGCGACGAUCCGUAGCUGGUCUGAGAGGAUGAUCAGCGACACUGGAGCUGAGACACGGUCCAGACUCCUACGGGAGGCAGCAGUGGGGAAUAUUGGACAAUGGGCGCAAGCCUGAUCCAGCCAUACCGCGUGGGUGAAGAAGGCCUUCGGUUUGUAAAGCCCUUUUGUUGGGAAAGAAAAGCAGCAGGUUAAUACCCCGCUGUUCUGACGGUACCCAAAGAAUAAGCGCCGGCUAACUUCGUG
rnacentral:rRNA from 1 species